UCACGCAUUGGGUUGUGUUUUGCUUUGCUUUAAGGAGCACAGUAGAAUCAGAAAUGAAGCUUCAUUAGAAUGUUACUCUCCCUGAAUGUAUUGACAACCUCGAGCUUAAAAGAAGCAGUAUAUUUUUGUCUUGUCUUGAAGUAGCCAUAUCAUAUGUGAAUAAUAAUAUGAAUACAACUGCAUCACAAGCAACUUACAGUGCAAUGUUAUCAUUACACUAAUGCACCCACCAUACUUGAACCACGGACCUCACCCAGGAACAGAGACAAGACCAGCAUUUGAAAAACAAAAGACCCUGCAAAACCAGCAACACUCACCAUUACAGACACCAGAAACUGCACAUCUCUGCAUGGAGCACACAUGCUCAGUACAUCAGGGGCUGACCCUUGCUUGGGUAUGUUCUCUACUAUUUUCCUCACCCACCAACCAAACUGGAUAGAUAUUCAGGCCUUACUGGCCGCUCUUCUGACUUCAGAAGAAAAGAGGUUGGUCUUAAAGAAAGCACGCACGAUAGCACAGCAGCGUCACCCAGCCGGUGAUGUAGAUGAACUUUGCCCUAAG